rnacentral:rRNA from 1 species
GAUGAACGCUGGCGGCGUGCCUAAUACAUGCAAGUCGAGCGAACAGACGAGGAGCUUGCUCCUCUGACGUUAGCGGCGGACGGGUGAGUAACACGUGGAUAACCUACCUAUAAGACUGGGAUAACUUCGGGAAACCGGAGCUAAUACCGGAUAAUAUAUUGAACCGCAUGGUUCAAUAGUGAAAGACGGUUUUGCUGUCACUUAUAGAUGGAUCCGCGCCUCAUUAGCUAGUUGGUAAGGUAACGGCUUACCAAGGCGACGAUGCGUAGCCGCCCUGAGAGGGUGAGCGGCCACACUGGAACUGAGACACGGUCCAGACUCCUACGGGAGGCAGCAGUAGGGAAUCUUCCGCAAUGGGCGAAAGCCUGACGGAGCAACGCCGCGUGAGUGAUGAAGGUCUUCGGAUCGUAAAACUCUGUUAUUAGGGAAGAAAAAAUGUGUAAGUAACUAUGCACGUCUUGACGGUACCUAAUCAGAAAGCCACGGCUAACUACGUG